rnacentral:rRNA from 1 species
UAACGGGGGGUAUUGCCCUAGUAACGGCGAGUGAAGCGGCAACAGCUCAAAUUUGAAAGCUGGCCUUCGGGUCCGCAUUGUAAUUUGUAGAGGAUGCUUUGGGGCAGCCGCCUGUCUAAGUUCCUUGGAACAGGACGUCAUAGAGGGUGAGAAUCCCGUAUGUGACAGGACAUGGCACCCUAUGUAAAGCUCCUUCGACGAGUCGAGUUGUUUGGGAAUGCAGCUCUAAAUGGGAGGUAAAUUUCUUCUAAAGCUAAAUACCGGCGAGAGACCGAUAGCGCACAAGUAGAGUGAUCGAAAGAUGAAAAGCACUUUGGAAAGAGAGUUAAAAAGCACGUGAAAUUGUUGAAAGGGAAGCGCUUGCAAUCAGACUUGUUUUGACUGUUCGGCCGGUCUUCUGACCGGUUUACUCAGUCUGGACAGGCCAGCAUCAGUUUUGGCGGCCGGAUAAAGGCCUAGGGAAUGUGGCUCUCGCUUCGGCGGGAGUGUUAUAGCCCUGGGUGUAAUACGGCCAGCCGGGACUGAGGUCCGCGCUUCGGCUAGGAUGCUGGCGUAAUGGUUGUAAGCGACCCGUCUUGACCACGGACA